UACGUAGGUGGCAAGCGUUAUCCGGAUUCAUUGGGUUUAAAGGGUGCGCAGGCGGGAGAUUAAGUCGGCGGUGAAAUUUUGCAGCUCAACUGUAAAAGUGCCUUCGAAACUGGUUUCCUUGAGUGUAGAUGAAGUAGGCGGAAUUUGUGGUGUAGCGGUGAAAUGCUUAGAUAUCACGAGGAACUCCGAUUGCGCAGGCAGCUUACUAAACUACUACUGACGCUCAGGCACGAAGGCGUGGGGAUCAAACAGGAUUAGAUACCCUGGUA
rnacentral:rRNA from 1 species